GUAGACAUAUAUAGAGUAAUGUUGCAUGCAGGGCCAGUGUAAGCCAACUGUAUACAAGCAACGCGAUCGUUACCAUUACUACAUAAUGGGAUGCCGGUGCACAUUAGUUUGAGAAAUCAUUUCAUUAACAAGGAGCAAGACCUUUUAAGACACGUCAUUACACGGUGUGUCUAUAUUUUUCUUUCUUUCUCGUGUAGCCUGAAUCGGUUGCAAUCCAACCAAAGCCCAUACCGACGAAACCUCCUUUCCUACCCAUGACAUGACAGCCCAAAUGGUCCAUCCCGUUGCUACCAAAUCAAGGCCCAAUGACUUCAUCCCCUCCACCAGCACAAACAUUGGCGAGGCCCAAACCAACCCACCCCUUUCCUCCCUCCCUCCCUUCCGAGUCUCCGACCCUCCUCUCCUCUUCAUGUGAAACGGCGCAUCCCUCCCUCACGUAGCACUCCUCCAGGUCGCCCCCUCUCCUUGCUCAUGCAGUCAUGCCAAUAAACCUGGACACCAUAAAAACAAAGAAAGAACCAAUCCCCUCCCCUUCUCACGUCACCCUCUGGUCCCACCUCUCUCGUUUCUUAGAUCAGAUCACGACAGAAUCAGUCAUGGCCUUGGCCUCUUCCCUUCCUCAUCCAUGGUCGCACCCUCCUAAAUCUCCCCUCUCCCACCUUCCUAACCAACAAAACGGAGAGCCCUCAUUCUCAUUGUUCUGUUUCACCACUG
rnacentral:lncRNA from 1 species